rnacentral:rRNA from 1 species
UACGUAGGGUGCGAGCGUUGUCCGGAUUUAUUGGGCGUAAAGAGCUCGUAGGUGGCUUGUCACGUCGGGUGUGAAAGCUUGGGGCUUAACUCCAGGUCUGCAUUCGAUACGGGCUGGCUAGAGGUAGGUAGGGGAGAACGGAAUUCCUGGUGUAGCGGUGAAAUGCGCAGAUAUCAGGAGGAACACCGGUGGCGAAGGCGGUUCUCUGGGCCUUACCUGACGCUGAGGAGCGAAAGCGUGGGGAGCGAACAGG